rnacentral:rRNA from 1 species
GGAAUAUUGGACAAUGGGCGAAAGCCUGAUCCAGCCAUGCCGCGUGAGUGACGAAGGCCUUAGGGUUGUAAAGCUCUUUUAGUGGGGAAGAUAAUGACGGUACCCACAGAAAAAGCCCCGGCUAACUUCGUGCCAGCAGCCGCGGUAAUACGAAGGGGGCUAGCGCUGUUCGGAAUUACUGGGCGUGAAGCGCACGUAGGCGGACUAUUAAGUCAGAGGUGAAAUCCCGGGGCUCAACCCCGGAACUGCCUUUGAUACUGGUAGUCUCGAGUCCGAGAGAGGUGAGUGGAACUCCUAGUGUAGAGGUGGAAUUCGUAGAUAUUAGGAAGAACACCAGUGGCGAAGGCGGCUCACUGGCUCGGUACUGACGCUGAGGUGCGAAAGCGUGGGGAGCAAAC